rnacentral:rRNA from 1 species
AGGAUGAACGCUAGCGACAGGCCUAACACAUGCAAGUCGAGGGGCAGCACAAGGAGCAAUCUGAGGUGGCGACCGGCGCACGGGUGAGUAACACGUAUGCAACCUGCCUGUAAGCGGGGAAUAACCCGUUGAAAGACGGACUAAUACCGCAUAAUACUAAAUUACUGCAUGGUAAUUUAUUUAAACAUUUAUGGCUUACAGAUGGGCAUGCGCAUGAUUAGCUAGUUGGAGAGGUAACGGCUCCCCAAGGCAACGAUCAUUAGGGGUUCUGAGAGGAAGGUCCCCCACACUGGUACUGAGACACGGACCAGACUCCUACGGGAGGCAGCAGUGAGGAAUAUUGGUCAAUGGACGAGAGUCUGAACCAGCCAAGUCGCGUGCAGGAAGAAUGUUCCCUAUGGAUUGUAAACUGCUUUUGCAGGGGAAUAAAGUGCAUCACGUGUGAUGUUUUGUAUGUACUCUGCGAAUAAGGAUCGGCUAACUCCGUGCCAGCCGCCGC